CCUACGGGAGGCAGCAGUGGGGAAUAUUGGACAAUGGGCGCAAGCCUGAUCCAGCCAUGCCGCGUGUGUGAAGAAGGCCUUCGGGUUGUAAAGCACUUUCAGCGAGGAGGAAGGGAUGUAUGUUAAUAGCAUGCAUUUUUGACGUUACUCGCAGAAGAAGCACCGGCUAACUCUGUGCCAGCAGCCGCGGUAAUACAGAGGGUGCAAGCGUUAAUCGGAAUUACUGGGCGUAAAGCGCACGUAGGCGGUUUUUUAAGUCAGAUGUGAAAGCCCCGGGCUCAACCUGGGAAUUGCAUUUGAAACUGGGGAACUAGAGUGUGUGAGAGGGGGGUAGAAUUCCAAGUGUAGCGGUGAAAUGCGUAGAGAUUUGGAGGAAUACCAGUGGCGAAGGCGGCCCCCUGGCACAGCACUGACGCUCAGGUGCGAAAGCGUGGGGAGCAAACAGGAUUAGAUACCCUGGUAGUCCACGCCGUAAACGAUGUCUACUAGCUGUUCGUGUCCUUGUGAUGUGAGUAGCGCGAGCGACGACGACGUAAGUAGACCGCCGUUGGGUAGGUUACGGUUCGCGAGAGUUAACGUUACAAGAGAGUUAGACGGCGUUGAGACGUUGGCCGACGGACGACGACGAGGGGAGGUUAGG
rnacentral:rRNA from 1 species